rnacentral:snoRNA from 1 species
GCAUGGGUUUGGAUUUAUGGCAGGCCCGCCCCCUGGGUCCUAUGCCAGAGCAAACUGUGGCCCCAACCAUUGCCUGGCCUCUGCCUGAAGGCUGCUGGCACUGAAGAGGGUUGCACAGUG